ACGAACGCUGGCGGCGUGCUUAACACAUGCAAGUCGAACGGAAAGGCCUCUUUCGGGGGGUACUCGAGUGGCGAACGGGUGAGUAACACGUGAGUAACCUGCCCUUGACUUUGGGAUAACUUCAGGAAACUGGGGCUAAUACCGGAUAGGAGCUCCUGCUGCAUGGUGGGGGUUGGAAAGUUUCGGCGGUUGGGGAUGGACUCGCGGCUUAUCAGCUUGUUGGUGGGGUAGUGGCUUACCAAGGCUUUGACGGGUAGCCGGCCUGAGAGGGUGACCGGCCACAUUGGGACUGAGAUACGGCCCAGACUCCUACGGGAGGCAGCAGUGGUGAAUAUUGCACAAUGGGUGGAAGCCUGAUGCAGCAACGCCGUGUGCGGGAUGACGGCCUUCGGGUUGUAAACCGCUUUCGCUCAUGACGAAGCUUUGUGUGACGGUAGUGGGUAAAGAAGCACCGGCUAACUACGUG
rnacentral:rRNA from 1 species